UAGGGUGGAACAUGAUAUAUAACCAUGCUAUACAUCAUUUUCAAGGGAGCUUGUGAGCUUGCGGGGUAGUCCAAUCAUUUUUCCUGUAAAUAUUGCCCAAAUUCAAGAUAGGCUCUUUUGUCCAAUUACAAUGCAGCAUGUUACGAGGUCACGCCACCUCGAUCAAUAUCCUCAGAGACUGAUGGAGAUACCAACGUGAAUCUUGACAGUGGAUAUUAUCAAAUC
rnacentral:lncRNA from 1 species